rnacentral:rRNA from 1 species
UACGUAGGCAGCGAGCGUUGUUCGGAGUUACUGGGCGUAAAGAGUGCGUAGGCGGUUUUCUAAGUUUGGUGUGAAAGCCCCCGGCUCAACCGGGGAACUGCACGGGAAACUAGCAGGCUUGAGUUCGGGAGAGGGAAGCGGAAUUUCGGGUGUAGCGGUGAAAUGCGCAGAUAUCCGAAGGAACACCGGUGGCGAAGGCGGCUUCCUGGACCGACACUGACGCUGAGGCGCGAAAGCUAGGGGAGCAAACGGG